rnacentral:rRNA from 1 species
GUCGAACGCUGGCGGCGUGCCUAAUACAUGCAAGUCGAACGCAGUGGGGACGGGUGAGUAACACGUGGGUAACCUCCCAUCAGAGGGGAUAACACUUGGAAACAGGUGCUAAAACCGAUACGGUUGGAUGGACCAGCGGGGCAUUAGCGAGUUGGUGAGGUAACGGCCCACCAAGGCCACGAUGCAUAGCCGACCUGAGAGGGUGAUCGGACACCCUGGGACUGAGCCACGGCCCAGACUCCUAAGGGAGGCAGCAGUAGGGAAUCGUCGGCAAUGGACGAAAGUCUGACAGAGCAACGCCGCGUGGGUGAAGAAGGUGUUCGGGUCGUAAAAUUCUGUUGUUAGAGAAGCGGUAGCUAACGAGAAAGCCACGGCUAACUACGUGCCAGCAGCCGCGGUAAUUC